GUCCCCCAGAGCAAGGCAGGAAGAUUUUCGCUCAGUCCUGCGAGGAGAAGCUCGGGCAGAACAGGGAGCUGCUCCCCAGCCUGCAGACAGCCUUGCAGGAGGACUCCAAUAUCCUGGAAUUUGUCCUGAAGUACAACAAACUCCCCAUUAAGGAUGCUUUUGGAGAGGGCCAGGAGCUCGUUUCAGCCACUGAGAACCUGGAGGUGGUCAUAAAGAAGAUCGAGGCCAAAGUGCAUGACCAGGUGAAGGUGUGUGACAUGCUGCUGCACCAGCUGAAGCAGUGGAGCCAAGCCAGGGACGAGCGCCAGAGGCACCUGCAGGAUCUGCAGCAUGCUGAGACGGAUCCUAAGUGGCAAGAGCCACAGUUGCAGACCAUUCGCCAGCUGGGCAAUGACAUCGAGAAGAUGCUCAUGAAAAUUCACAGUGGAGAGAUCGUGACCAAACUGUACCUGAGGCUGCAGGAGGUCCUGAGGAGGGUGAGCUGCUCCUCACUGUGCUAGUGUUUCACCUGCUCUCCCUGCAAAGGCACGGGGUGCCCAAGGGGCUGUGUCCCAGGGGACACCCAGCUGGUCCCCUCCAUGGCCUGUCACAGCACAGGGGACCCUGGUGGGUGAUGUGCUGUGGCUCCUUGUGUGCCAGGAGCUGGUGUACCUGCCUCGAUACCUAGACCUCCUGUCUGGGAUGACUGUGAUGUACCACGAGGAGCUCACAGCCCGGACUAGCCUCAAAGCCAACAAUGUCAUCAAGGUGAGGUAACUGGGGCCCUUUCCCACCCU
rnacentral:lncRNA from 1 species